rnacentral:rRNA from 1 species
GACGAACGCUGGCGGUGUGCUUAACACAUGCAAGUCGAACGGUAAGGCCCUUCGGGGUACACGAGUGGCGAACGGGUGAGUAACACGUGGGUGAUCUGCCCUGCACUUCGGGAUAAGCCUGGGAAACUGGGCCUAAUACCGGAUAGGACCACUGCCUGCAUGGGUGGUGGUGGAAAGCUUUUGCGGUGUGGGAUGGGCCCGCGGCCUAUCAGCUUGUUGGUGGGGUGAUGGCCUACCAAGGCGACGACGGGUAGCCGGCCUGAGAGGGUGACCGGCCACACUGGGACUGAGAUACGGCCCAGACUCCUACGGGAGGCAGCAGUGGGGAAUAUUGCACAAUGGGCGCAAGCCUGAUGCAGCGACGCCGCGUGAGGGAUGACGGCCUUCGGGUUGUAAACCUCUUUCAGCACCGACGAAGCGCAAGUGACGGUAGGUGCAGAAGAAGGACCGGCCAACUACGUGCCAGCAGCCGCAGUAA